GCUCUACGUGACCCUGCCUUGGUAGGGGGAUUGAUCUGGAUGAUCUCCAGAGAUCCCUUCCAACCUUAACAAUUCUGUGAUUCUAGAAAUGCUUCUUUCU